ACAGUAUCUCCUAAACAGUAUCUCCUGAGUACAGUAUCUCCUAAACAGUCAUGAUUAUCUGUGAGUAUUUGGUAUGAGCCAGGUUUAAUUAAAAUGAAGCAAAUGUUUUCUUUUUCUGAUAGGAAAGACUGUAUGUAUCAGAGUUUCUGUGGUGUUACUAAUCUGGGUGUGAUCAAUAACUUCAAAACCUCUAGUCACAUCUUCCUUGCUUCAGAUGAUGUAACAUAGAAUAACCAUUUUGGUAAAGGUUGAAUUGUACUGCCCAAACUGGUGGCACAAUCCCGCUCAUUAAAUUUACCACUAAGGGCCCUCUUUACACAAGACUGUAUUUAAAUGAUCUGCUGUGUUAAGCUCUACUAAUAUAGUAUACACUAUAGUAUUCAAUGGUAAUGGGGUUAUUAUAAAAUUAGGUGAAUGUUUUAUAAGUAGAUGAUAAGAAAACCUUAUGUGAUGUUUAUCAGAUCAGGGCUGGGUUUCCCAAAAGCACCAUAAACAAAGAUAAUCUUUAAAUGGUAUUAUACGGAACACUCUCUCUCUUAUUUAAGAUUAUCUUUAUUUCUUGAAGAAUUUGGGAAGUGGGGCCCAGGUUGGUAAAAGAGUCCUGUGAUUUUUCUCAAUCUGUUGAAGUGAUGACUCACCUCAUUUGAUGAGACUAGGCUCAUUUCAAGAAUCCUUCCUAAAUACGUGAUCUAAUUUGCCCACUAAAGUGGAGCUGAACAACAUUUCAUACCAACAUAAAAAAGUACUUAUAAAUUUUUAAAUAUAAAUUUGACAAAGCAGUACUAUUUCCUGUCUUCUCUUAGUAUGAUAUCAUGUAUGCUAAUGAAUUUUAUUUCAGACAUACAGUAUAUUAGCCUAAUAUGCAAUAUUUCCAAGACUAGAAUUUACCAAACUUUUUCAUUGACUGUAGGCUGAUCUAAGCCUGAUUAUUUUAGUCGCAAAAAUGCCAAGACUAAUUUAGGCCAUGCUGGAUUCAAUUACAGGUCUCCAUAUGCUGGAGACCAAUAUAGAUUAAGUGAGCCAUCAGCCAGUGUAAGAACUUAAAGCAGCCAAGUGAACAGGUGUUGCUAAUUGCUCCUGAUUACUGUGAAGUGGCCCUGUGUCUUCCUCUGUUGACUGAAGAUGGCCUUGCUGGUGACCCAGUUUCUUUCAAGUCCCACACUUGGCUACAUGGAAAGUGAGAGGCAGAGCGAGACACUACGCUUCGUUGCCAUGUUGUGUAAAUGUACUAUUAUGUGCGCACUGGUCGUGCAUGAGCUUUGUAUUUACCAGUUUUCUUUCAACAUCUUGAAUCUAUGUUAAUAUUAUGCGAGCUCACAUGUAACCAAAGCCUGUGAUCUGAAAUGCUGAAAUAAGCGUUUCAGAUUAGUCACCUGCAAAAAUGUUCCUUCAGACAUUACAGACCGUAGCCUUCUUAAGGACACACGCAUGCCUCACUUUGUAAUAUCACUGCAACGCCACUGAAUAACGUGACUGUUCCAGUUAGACGCACAAAGCUCUUUCUUCUAAGAUUCUAACGCAUCCUGUGUCCUGACAUUUGAUAUACGGGAGACACUACGUCCUGUCUAUCCAGUUUGGUGUAUUUUACAUUUUAAUAAGGCAAAUAUGAGGAGGAGUGAAUAGCUAUAUUCCUAAAUCGCUGUGAAGCAUACUGAACGAACUUCAGGUGAAGAAUUUCACUUUGAUAUAGCUGCAGAAACAAGGGCAGCAAUUCCAGACAUCACUAUAACCCAACACACACAGGGUAGUACAUGCAUACCUGAAUGUGUGUUUUCCCCUCCAAAUGUCUCCUGCCCUUUUGCUUGUUUUGUUGUUCUUAGUCUCCCUCCAUCUUUGCUCAAAGGUCAAUCAUUGCUAAUCCCUUAAUGCUCAUCACAUUUAUUUGACAACAGAUUUGCGGUUCCAGAUUCAAGACUUAUCAUCAGGCACACACAUUUCUAGUAAAACGUGCGCACACACCUUAAAUGAAAUCCUUACGUUGCUAGUCCUCCAGACACCAACAAGACGCAAUCAAAAGGAAGACUAAAUAGUUCAGUAAUAGUGGUAGUGUAUGUGUAGAGUCCAACCUUCACUGUGUGUGCGCGGUGGAGGCACUAAAGGGGAAUGAGCAAGGGUUGGAAGUCAUUCUAAAGCCUAACAGUUUUGGGUUAAAGCUUCUUGUUUUCUGGACUUUCCACCCCUGCGUUAUCUGCCCCUGCUCGUAGCCAGCUAUGUAGUCACUCAGGUCCGGACCCUGGAAGUUUUAUAGAGCUUAAACUGAAACCAAUUCUUAACCAUCCAUAUUUCUACUUGACUGACUAGCCCUGCUUGAUUCAUUUUUAAAAACUUGCAAAGAUAAGAUGUUUAUGGUAACACUGUGACUCCUUUCUCAUUUUACAGUGAUGUUACAGUCAGGGUAAUGUUAGCUUGUUUUCGAUGCUAAGGAAACUGAUUUAGUUUUAUAUCACCAAAACAACAACAACAACAACAACAAAACCCCCAUAAGAUGUAACCUCACAGUUUAGCCACAUUAUUCAGAUGAAAACUACGUGGUUGAUGAUCCAAGUUCUGAAUGCACAUAAGCAAGCAUUUUUUCAGAGAUUGCAGCACUACAUACAGAAGUCUGAGGCAGCUUCAUGUUCCAGCAGUUAGCCAUACACAACCCAGCAUCACACAGAAUGCUCAAAUAUCAUAUCAGUAUCAUAUUUCCAACAUGGAUAUGCAUGAUCAUAUGAUACUGUCAUAGUUUCUCUGUGCAACUUGCUUUCUCUGUGAAAUUAGAAGCCUGCAUAGACAAAUCUUGUCAAGUAGUGCUUGUCUUUGGAUGUACUCACACUAGGCGAUCUGAAUUUGAAUAUUGAGGUUUCACUACACUGUACUAUAUAAGGAUUAUAGUAAAUUAAUUUUAUUUGUGGUUAAUUUUAUUUUACAGGUUUGUAUUGCUUUUUUUUUUAGUUAUAGUGAAUUGUUUUAUAGUAUUUCUUAUUUCUGUUACCUUAGAGCCAUAUUAAAGUGACAGUUGCCUUAUA